CCCUUAGAUGUUCUGGGCCGCACGCGUGCUACACUGAGUGGAUCAGCGGGUCAGGUUGCGCGAAAGCGUUUCCUAAUCUUUAAAUCCGCUCGUGAUGGGGAUUGACGGUUGCAAUUUUCUGUCAUGAACGAGGAAUGCCUAGUAAGCGCGAGUCAUCAUCUCGCGUUGAUUACGUCCCUGCCCUUUGUACACACCGCCCGUCGCUCCUACCGAUUGAACGUGCUGGUGAAGCGUUAGGACUGGCUCUCGGGGCAGGUCUCCUGCCCCUUGAAUCGGGAAUUUCGUUGAACCCUCCCGUUUAGAGGAAGGAGAAGUCGUAACA
rnacentral:rRNA from 1 species